ACAACCACAGCUCGCUGCACCACUCCUAAUUAUAAGUCCCCGCGCACCGCUCGCCGUCCCACCACAGAUACACUUCCAAGCAACUCCGGCCGCCGCAGAGUGAUGCGGCGGGGUCGCCGCGACGAUAGCUAGCCGCUCGGAUCAGGUGACAGGAGAGUGGGGCGGUAGAGGAAUGGGGGUGUGGAGGGAGGGGGCGGGGUGGUGCUUCUGCUCCGGCGGCGGCGGGGACUCCAGGUCGGAGCGCGUGAAGGCGGCGAUCUUCUCGGCGAAGGCCGCCACGCUGGCCGCGGUCGGUGUGAGCGGCAGCGGGCUCCUGAUCCACCGGGACCUGCUGCUCACCACCCACGGCAACCUGCCCUCCGCGGCCGCCGCCGACGACGCCGAGGCGCUGCUCGGGCACGGCCGCCUCGCCACACGCCUCGAGCCGCACAGAUUCUUCAUUACAAGCUCAAUUCUAGACCUUACAAUAGUGGGUCUUGAUACUACAGAGAGCGACUCAACUCCGCAGGGUCAGCAACCUCACUAUUUGAAAACAUGCUGCAAACCAAGCUUAGAUCAUGGCAGUGUUGUUUACUUGCUGGGGCAUACAGGAAAAAAAGAACUGGUGAUCGGUGAGGGAAAAGUAGUGAUUGGCACAGACAACCUCAUAAAGCUCGCAACGGAUGGGGUGACAUGGUGCCCUGGGUCUGCCGGUUUCGAUGCCCAAGGGAACCUAGCUUUCAUGAUCUGUGAUCCAAUGAAGCUGGCCUCUUCCCCCAUUGCAAGAUCUUCAUCGGCAUCCUCAGCAUCAUCACAUUCAUGGAAGAAGGAUCAGCCAAUGCAAUUUGGUAUCCCCAUAUCUGUAGUUUGCGAUUGGUUGUAUCAGCAUUGGCAAGGCAGCUUGGACGAGGUUAGCAAGCAAAAGUUACCUCUUGUUCGGCUGAUGUCCAGCAGGAGUGAUCACUCAAGCACCUCUUUCACUCGUCGUCAUGUGUUCAAGCCUGACGACGAGAAUGAUGACGCCUCCGUUUGUUCAAAGCCUAAAUAUCAGCAGGCGUCAGGAAGCUCAGCCACUGCAAGGAUUUCGCAUGAAGCAAAUCCUCUAGUUGAUCUGCGCACAACCAAUGAGCAGGGGAUUGCAACGCCAGAAAUAUAUGAGUCACCUAGGCGAAGUUCUUGUCAGGCUCAGAAGGAUGCUGCACCGAUUCAACUCUUGGACAUCAACUUCCCACCCAGGGCUCCAAAGACUAUCUUUCUACCACUGCCUCUGAAGCAAAUGCUUUCUGAUGAGAAUAAUACCGAAACAUCCAAACCUAGAAAUCAGUCUAAAGAUAAUGGCUUUCCAUCAGGGCUGAUAUGGCACCGUAAUAGUGAGGCUGGCUGUAGGGACCCUCAAGUAGCUCUUCAGCAUAAUUAUUGCAGCAGUGAGGGGCAGUCGAGCUCAUCACCCGUUGAAAUAUUGGAGUAUGGAGAUCAAGACCAGUAUAGCAGCGAGGAAGAGACAAUGUACUCAGCUGAAACCAUGGAAAGCAGGAACAUUCCAAGCCCCAGGGAAAAGCAUGUCGGGAGGAGCCAGAGCUGUGUCGCCUACAGCAGGUGGAGCUCCCCAAGGGCCUCGUCGAUACAAAACGGGUCCUUGCGAAAGCAGCAUACACUGAUCCCUGUGCGGAAGACACACUCGCAGAACACGGCUCUGCCACAGAGGAGUCAUGACUAUUUGAGCCCAACGGUCUCCUCGGCUAUGAAGAAGAGGAACUCUGUGGAACAGCAACAGCCCACAAAGCCUCGACGGAGCAUUGUGCAGUCUUCUCCAAAAUGGAUGUUUUGAUGGUUCUGUGGCUGGAAACGAUGAGCAAAGCAAUACUGAUUCGGUGGAAAUCUUCUGCUCCUACGUUUCCUCCUCCAAACUUCCCUUUCAACAAGCUAUUCUUGUCUUCAGGGUUCAGAGGCUGCUACUAUCUGUAUGAUGAGAUCACAGACAGCCUGACCCCCCUGACGGAGUUCAUUUCUGCAUUUCUUUGUACUCGGAGCAUUCCAGUCAUUUUGGCUGAAAUUUCCUGUCCUACCUCAGGAAGCCUGGUUGGAGAAAUAUGGGGGUCCAACUCUUACGAGGCACCAUUGGUUUGCAAAUUGGCAUGCGUCUCCUUGCAUACUUGACGAGAGUGUCAACAAUGUCAAACCUGACCAAUGAAUCCAAUUAAUAUCAUGAUGCUAGGAUGAGCUUGGGUAGCAAGUGCGAACAUAACAUCAACGAUGUCAGGCUCAAUCAGACAUGGAAUACCUGAAGCACGAGAUCAAGAAUCAAACCUGACUAAUGAAUCCGACUAAGCAUGCAUCAACACAGUCUCCUAUAGGAAAUGCUGGUGCCCUGUGCUGUGCACAUGGAAAUGUUGCUGCCACUCUGUCCCACAAGGAACAUGGCAUGCUUAAUCAUUUCUCGAAACAAUGUAUCGUCUUCUCGAAUUAUAUGCCAGGGGUGUCAAUUUAGGAGAACUUUUGUCAUGUUCAUUCAUCUCAACAUAUGUCUCGCUUUCACAUGUAAAACUACAGAUAUUUACAGAAACAAAGACACAUUUCCGGUGGCACAAUAGUAUGGUUACGGGUU